rnacentral:rRNA from 1 species
AUUGAACGCAGGCGGCAUGCCUUACACAUGCAAGUCGAACGGUAACAGGUCUUCGGAUGCUGACGAGUGGCGAACGGGUGAGUAAUACAUCGGAACGUGCCUAGUAGUGGGGGAUAACUACUCGAAAGAGUGGCUAAUACCGCAUGAGAUCUACGGAUGAAAGCAGGGGAUCGCAAGACCUUGUGCUACUAGAGCGGCCGAUGGCAGAUUAGGUAGUUGGUGGGAUAAAAGCUUACCAAGCCGACGAUCUGUAGCUGGUCUGAGAGGACGAUCAGCCAUACUGGGACUGAGACACGGGCCAGACUCCUACGGGAGGCAGCAGGUGGGAAUGUUGGACAAUGGGCGCAAGCCUGAUCCAGCAACGCCGCGUGAAGGAUGAAGGCCUUCGGGUUGUAAACUGCUUUUGUACGGAACGAAAAGCCCCGGGUUAAUACCCUGGGGUCAUGACGGUACCGUAAGAAUAAGCACCGGCUAACUACGUGCCAGCCGCCGCCGUAA